CUUCCCUUGGUUUCCCAAAUACUAUAUUGGUGCCCUUCCUUAGAAAUCUACCCCUUAAUUAAGUUGGCCCGAAGGUCACAAACAUAAUCAAUAUGGAGGCCGGGUACUGCAAGGUGCUAAUUGACAUCCCCAAAGAGGAAUAGUGUCAACAAUCAAUAGGGAAGAAGCGAGCAUUGGUAGAUUUAUGGCUUUGAUUUUGAAAAGAUAUGGGAAUGCCCAGUGAUGUUCCCCCACCCUGUACUCCUUUCGAAUGUUAAUGAUUUCUUGAAGAUGAUUUCAGACACACUGCUAGGAUACUGCCUCUACUCACUGAAGCAGAAUCCUCUGAAGAGUUGCUGAGGCAGAACCAGAAUCAUGGCUCGCCACAAAGCAGCAGCCGUAUCGGCUGCUAACGAUGCCUCACACAGAAAGAUGAUGUUCCUUUAACUCGGGGGUUUUAAUGGGAAGUUUCUAAGCCCGAAACCACGGCUUGAGAUCUAGGGUGUGCCAUUAGCCGCUUGCAGCUGCCACUGUCUCCUGCCUCAACCCAGCCUGGUCGGGAAGAAUGGAAACUAAAGAGGCUUGUAACUACCUGUAACUGUUCCACCGGGAAAUGGAUCAAGUGUUUGUUCAGCCAGAUUCAGAUAACUCAGCAUCUCCACGGGGCAGCCACCAUGCUCUCAGCAGACUGAUGAUGGGAGAAAAGGAAACUGGGAGAGCCUAUUCUUCUGCUUCUCUGGACGAUGGAUGGAGGACAGCCUGUCCCUUCACCCCUAGUGCCCCUUGAGAACGCAUCAGCAGAUUCUAGCAUGUCUCUGGAGCAAAAAACCACUUUUGUGUUUGUGAUUUUGUUGUUCAUUUUCUUGGGCAUCCUCAUUGUCAGGUGCUUCCGGAUCCUUCUGGACCCAUAUCGGAGCAUGCCGACCUCAACCUGGGCUGAUGGACUUGAAGGGCUGGAGAAGGGGCAGUUUGACCAUGCCCUUGCUUAGCAGAGGGGAGGCAGGAUUCCCCUCCUGAAAGGGGGAAGUGUGGCAUGUCUUGGUAAGGAAUUCUCUUUAGUCAAUGUUCUCAACAAACUAAGUUUUAACAGCACCUUGUCCUAGACCUCCCUCAUUUAUUAAACAUGCUGUUCAGUUAAAAGCAUUUGAAGGAUAUUGGAGAUGAAGGUUUAUAACACUCUCCUAAAAUAGGAAGCCUUGGAUUUCCAUGUUGACUCAGUGAAUGAGUACUGCUGAACGCGUGCGAUGGUGAAAGCAAGAGCAUCAGCACUGACACAAACUUUGCCAUAAAAUGAAGCCCUCUCCCACCCAACCAGAGACUGAAGAAUGGAAAGGAUCUGAAGCAAAUCUGGUCACAGCGCCAUGAAGAGGCUCUCUUGUUCUGACUGUGUCUCUCAGUUGGCUUAUUUACAUGGGAAUCUGGGUUCUGGGCAGAGAGACUGGGUUGAGUGAACCUGGGGGAGCCUUGGGAAGCCAGGAGGUGGGGGGCGCUUAGCACAGAUGAUUCCAUCCCUGGAAAAGAUGAGUGAUGUUGAUCCCAUUUUAUUUCUCAAGUACAACUGAAUUCAGAGGCUUACGGAGAUUUGCAAACCCUACACCAGGCCAAGUACAUUCUAGGUAUUCAUAUUAAUUAGUAGUGUAGAGGUAGCUAUACAUAACCUGAAUUGACUUUCUUGACGCAAGUGAUUAAAAUAAUGGGUUGUGAGUGCAGCUAUGAGUUGUUGUUUUUUUUUUUUGUGUGUGUGUGUGU